UACGGAGGGUGCGAGCGUUGUCCGGAAUCACUGGGCGUAAAGGGCGCGUAGGCGGCAUGCCAAGCGUGUGGUGAAAGCCCGGGGCUCAACCCCGGGUCGGCCGUGCGGACUGACGUGCUCGAGCACUGUAGGGGCGGGUGGAAUUCCGAGUGUAGAGGUGAAAUUCGUAGAUAUUCGGAAGAACACCAGUGGCGAAGGCGGCUCACUGGACCGGUAUUGACGCUGAGGUGCGAAAGCGUGGGGAGCAAACAGG
rnacentral:rRNA from 1 species